rnacentral:lncRNA from 1 species
UUAUUUCCAUUCAACAAGUUCAAAACCAAUGCAUAGCCUGUGGUAAUGAAUCCUUCGAAUGAUAUCAUAGCCUUAGACAUAGUCAUUUUCUGUCAAAAGACUUUCUUGUAAGCAGUGGGUAAAGACUUUUUUUAAGCCUCUGUCUAAAGAUUUCUUUUUAAGCCGUUGGUACUAAAAGGUCUUUGUCUAAAGACCUUUUUUUGACAAGCCGUGGGUACUACUAAUGUGAUGAAAACAUAUUCAAUCACAAUCUUUGUCAAAAGACUUUCUUGCAAGCCGUGUGUUGUGAUGAAGGCGUUUUCAAUCACAGUCUCUGUCUAAAGACUUCUUUUUAAGCCGUUGGUACUAAACUUUGUCACCCUUUAUCCAUCUCUCAAUUUCAUAGCCUUAGACAUAGUCAUUUUCUGUCAAAAAGACUAUUUUUAAGGCGACGGUUAUUUUUGUAAAGCCGUGGGUACUAAAGUGUGUUUUACUUUCCAUCCCCCAAACAUCUCCUUGCACUACCAACCAAUAGUUUCUAGGGUCAUGGUGUAAAUUUCCUCUGGGUCUAUGCUUCACGCAACAGGGACUCGGGACAUUGUCUCCAAAUAAGAUUCUGGCAGAACACUAUUAGAUUAGUGCCUGCCUAUGAACUUUUUGGAGUUUCAUAAAACUUAAUCAAAAGUAAGAAUCGGCAGUAAAAAGACAUAAAGAAGUAAAACAACUUACAUGUUUUAUGUUGCUACUUCUUUAGCCGUUCAAGUCAGAGACUCACACUUAUCUUCAAUCUGUAAAAAAAAAACAGAGAGAGGCUAAAGUGAUCGGUAAUUCUACAAUAUACAAGCAAUCGACACAAGAAAGAAACAUAUGUAUAUAAGCAUCGCUUUAUAUAACCAAUUUCAAGUCAAAGAUAUUAGAUAAACAUCCAUAACAGAACAGCAAGUAGCACAAAUCUAAAGCACGAUCAAGUUCUAAGUAAAACUGUAAAUCAAAAUAUAAUUGUUCUCAUGUUAAUUGCUAAAAUACAUACAGUAAUCUCAACGCAAACUGGUCAGAUAUGUUCGUCUAUGAAACUCAAAGAUUAGAAGAACAAAAACAAUUUGCGUAGACAGAGACGUUACCUCAACAAUGAUUCCAUACGGGUUCAAGCGCUUUCCAGGAUCACUACAACAAUAAAUAAAUGAACGAUUAAGGAAAAAAAAUCGUAAAAACCCAAUCGAUCGCAUCAAAUCCCUAAUUAAAUAAGAUAUGAACAAAAUCCAACAAAACAGAUUCACGAUCAAGAGAAAUCGAAGAGAAAGAACGUACUCUUUCAAGACUCGUGAACUUCUCUGCUUCUUUGAAAAGGAGUUAUCUCCAGAAAAUUUGAGAAAAAAACUUUUGGGAGAAAACCCUAAGAGAAGUGAAAGAACCGAGG